rnacentral:rRNA from 1 species
AGUGAACGCUGGCGGUAGGCCUAACACAUGCAAGUCGAACGGCAGCACAGUAAGAGCUUGCUCUUACGGGUGGCGAGUGGCGGACGGGUGAGGAAUACAUCGGAAUCUACUUUUUCGUGGGGGAUAACGUAGGGAAACUUACGCUAAUACCGCAUACGACCUACGGGUGAAAGCAGGGGAUCUUCGGACCUUGCGCGAUUGAAUGAGCCGAUGUCGGAUUAGCUAGUUGGCGGGGUAAAGGCCCACCAAGGCGACGAUCCGUAGCUGGUCUGAGAGGAUGAUCAGCCACACUGGAACUGAGACACGGUCCAGACUCCUACGGGAGGCAGCAGUGGGGAAUAUUGGACAAUGGGCGAAAGCCUGAUGCAGCAAUACCGCGUGGGUGAAGAAGGCCUUCGGGUUGUAAAGCCCUUUUGUUGGGAAAGAAAAGAAGCAGGUUAAUACCCCGAUGUUCUGACGGUACCCAAAGAAUAAGCACCGGCUAACUUCGUG